rnacentral:rRNA from 1 species
ACGAUGAAUCUUCUAGCUUGCUAGAAGUGGAUUAGUGGCGCACGGGUGAGUAAUGCAUAGGUUAUGUGCCCUUUAGUCUGGGAUAGCCACUGGAAACGGUGAUUAAUACUGGAUACUCCCUACGGGGGAAAGUUUUUCGCUAAAGGAUCAGCCUAUGUCCUAUCAGCUUGUUGGUGAGGUAAUGGCUCACCAAGGCUAUGACGGGUAUCCGGCCUGAGAGGGUGAUCGGACACACUGGAACUGAGACACGGUCCAGACUCCUACGGGAGGCAGCAGUAGGGAAUAUUGCUCAAUGGGGGAAACCCUGAAGCAGCAACGCCGCGUGGAGGAUGAAGGUUUUAGGAUUGUAAACUCCUUUUGUUAGAGAAGAUUAUGACGGUAUCUAACGAAUAAGCACCGGCUAACUCCGUGCCAGCAGCCGCGGUAAUACGGAGGGUGCAAGCGUUACUCGGAAUCACUGGGCGUAAAGAGUGCGUAGGCGGGGUAAUAAGUCAGAUGUGAAAUCCUGUAGCUUAACUACAGAACUGCAUUUGAAACUGUUACUCUGGAGUGUGGGAGAGGUAGGUGGAAUUCUUGGUGUAGGGGUAAAAUCCGUAGAGAUCAAGAGGAAUACUCAUUGCGAAGGCGACCUGCUGGAACAUUACUGACGCUGAUGCACGAAAGCGUGGGGAGCAAACAGGAUUAGAUACCCUGGUAGUCCACGCCCUAAACGAUGGAUGCUAGUUGUUGCCUUGCUUGUCAGGGCAGUAAUGCAGCUGACGCAUUAAGCAUCCCGCCUGGGGAGUACGGUCGCAAGAUUAAAACUCAAAGGAAUAGACGGGGACCCGCACAAGCGGUGGAGCAUGUGGUUUAAUU